rnacentral:rRNA from 1 species
CCUACGGGAGGCAGCAGUCGAGAAUCAUUCACAAUGGGGGAAACCCUGAUGGUUCGACGCCGCGUGGGGGAAUGAAGGUCUUCGGAUUGUAAACCCCUGUCAUGUGGGAGCAAAUUAAAAAGAUAGUACCACAAGAGGAAGAGACGGCUAACUCUGUGCCAGCAUCCGCGGUAAUACAGAGGUCUCAAGCGUUGUUCGGAAUCACGGGGCGUAAGGCGUGCGUAGGCGGUUUCGUAAGUCGUGUGUGAAAGGCGCGGGCUCAACCCGCGGACGGCACAUGAUACUGCGAGACUAGAGUAAUGGAGGGGGAACCGGAAUUCUCGGUGUAGCAGUGAAAUGCGUAGAUAUCGAGAGGAACACUCGUGGCGAAGGCGGGUUCCUGGACAUUAACUGACGCUGAGGCACGAAGGCCAGGGGAGCGAAAGGGAUUAGAUACCCUAGUAGUC